AAGAUGCCAUCCCGAGUGAGCCAAUACUGUGCCAAACCUGUUAUCAGUACUGGAGUUUUUGAGGAAAAUGGAAGGAAAAUGGGAACAAUAUCAAGAAACACGAAUGCCAGUUCAGGAUUUGCAGAAAUGAAAGCUUCUUGUAGUUCAAGGAUAAAACAAGUGAGAUUACGAGUGAGUCGUCAGUACUUCAAGAAAAAAGUUGCU